UUCCAGACUCCUACGGGAGGCAGCAGUGGGGAAUAUUGCACAAUGGGGGGAACCCUGAUGCAGCGACGCCGCGUGGGUAAAGAAGCGCCUCGGCGCGUAAAGCCCUGUCAGCAGGGAAGAAAAUGACGGUACCUGAAGAAGAAGCCCCGGCUAACUACGUGCCAGCAGCCGCGGUAAUACGUAGGGGGCAAGCGUUAUCCGGAUUUACUGGGUGUAAAGGGGGCGCAGACGGCGAUGCAAGCCAGGAGUGAAAGCCCGGGGCCCAACCCCGGGACUGCUCUUGGAACUGCGUGGCUGGAGUGCAGGAGGGGCAGGCGGAAUUCCUGGUGUAGCGGUGAAAUGCGUAGAUAUCAGGAGGAACACCGGUGGCGAAGGCGGCCUGCUGGACUGCAACUGACGUUGAGGCCCGAAAGCGUGGGGAGCAAACAGGAUUAGAUACCCCGGUAA
rnacentral:rRNA from 1 species